AACGAACGCUGGCGGCAUGCCUAACACAUGCAAGUCGAACGAGACCUUCGGGUCUAGUGGCGCACGGGUGCGUAACGCGUGGGAACCUGCCCUUAGGUUCGGAAUAACUCCCCGAAAGGGGUGCUAAUACCGGAUAAUGUCUUCGGACCAAAGAUUUAUCGCCUUUGGAUGGGCCCGCGUUGGAUUAGCUAGUUGGUAGGGUAAAAGCCUACCAAGGCGACGAUCCAUAGCUGGUCUGAGAGGAUGAUCAGCCACACUGGGACUGAGACACGGCCCAGACUCCUACGGGAGGAAGCAGUGGGGAAUAAUGGACAAUGGGCGAAAGCCUGAGCCAGCAAUGCCGCGUGAGUGAUGAAGGCCUUAGGGUUGUAAAGCUCUUUUACCCGGGAUGAUAAUGACAGUACCGGGAGAAUAAGCUCCGGCUAACUCCGUG
rnacentral:rRNA from 1 species